rnacentral:rRNA from 1 species
GACGAACGCUGGCGGCGUGCCUAAUACAUGCAAGUUGAGCGCUGAAGGUUGGUACUUGUACCAACUGGAUGAGCAGCGAACGGGUGAGUAACGCGUGGGGAAUCUGCCUUUGAGCGGGGGACAACAUUUGGAAACGAAUGCUAAUACCGCAUAAAAACUUUAAACACAAGUUUUAAGUUUGAAAGAUGCAAUUGCAUCACUCAAAGAUGAUCCCGCGUUGUAUUAGCUAGUUGGUGAGGUAAGGGCUCACCAAGGCGAUGAUACAUAGCCGACCUGAGAGGGUGAUCGGCCACAUUGGGACUGAGACACGGCCCAAACUCCUACAGGAGGCAGCAGUAGGGAAUCUUCGGCAAUGGACGAAAGUCUGACCGAGCAACGCCGCGUGAGUGAAGAAGGUUUUCGGAUCGUAAAACUCUGUUGGUAGAGAAGAACGUUGGUGAGAGUGGAAAGCUCAUCAAGUGACGGUAACUACCCAGAAAGGGACGGCUAACUACGUG